rnacentral:rRNA from 1 species
GUCUACGGCCACGCCACCCUGGACACGCCCGAUCCCGUCUGACCUCGGAAGCUAAGCAGGGUCGGGCCUGGUUAGUCCUUGGAUGGGAGACCACCUAGGAAGACCAGGUGCUGUAGGUG